GCUGAUGUGGCCGAGUGGUUAAGGCGUCAGACUUGAAUUCCGCCACCCGGCAUGAACACGUCAUCUGAUGGGAUAUUCCCGCGCGGGUUCGAACCCCGUCGUCAGCG